AUUGAACGCUGGCGGCAGGCCUAACACAUGCAAGUCGAACGCCGUAGCAAUACGGAGUGGCAGACGGGUGAGUAACGCGUGGGAACCUUCCCAGUGGUACGGAAUAACUCAGGGAAACUUGAGCUAAUACCGUAUACGCCCCUCGGGGGAAAGAUUUAUCGCCAUUGGAUGGGCCCGCGUCGGAUUAGCUAGUUGGUGAGGUAACGGCUUACCAAGGCGACGUUCCGUAGCUGGUCUGAGAGGAUGAUCAGCCACCCUGGGACUGAGACACGGCCCAGACUACUACGGGAGGCAGCAGUGGGGAAUAUUGGACAAUGGGCGCAAGCCUGAUCCAGCCAUGCCGCGUGAGUGACGAAGGCCUUAGGGUUGUAAAGCUCUUUUGGCGGGGAAGAUAAUGACGGUACCCGCAGAAUAAGCUCCGGCUAACUUCGUGCCAGCAGCCGCCGUAAAAC
rnacentral:rRNA from 1 species